UCCCGGCCUGAUAAAGGAGCCGAGGCCAAGAGGGGAGAGAGACCCCGCCCCCUUGAGAAGAGAAGCCGCAGCCCCUGCAGGACGGGGGUAAGAAAGAGAGACCGAGGGGCCAGAUUCCUGGGUCUCCGAAGAGGAUUGGGGCUUGUUGAUGGCCCGCGUCGCUAUGGGUUCCACCACUACUCCGGAGGGAGCGCUGGGCUACGUCCGCGAGUUCACUCGCCACUCCUCCGACGUGCUCGGCAACCUGAAUGAGCUGCGCUUGCGCGGGAUCCUCACUGACGUCACGCUGUUGGUUGGCGGGCAGCCCCUUCGAGCUCACAAGGCAGUUCUUAUCGCCUGCAGUGGCUUCUUCUACUCAAUUUUCCGAGGUCGUGCAGGAGUGGGGGUAGACGUGCUCUCCUUGCCCGGGGGCCCCGAAGCUGGAGGCUUCGCUCCUCUUCUGGACUUCAUGUACACUUCGCGCCUACGCCUCUCACCAGCCACUGCACCAGCUGUCCUUGCGGCCGCCACCUACUUGCAGAUGGAACACGUGGUCCAGACAUGCCACCGCUUCAUCCAGGCCAGCUAUGAACCUCUGGGCAUCUCCCUGCGGCCCCUGGAGGCAGAACCUCCUACGACCCCAACGGCCCCUCCACCAGGCAGCCCCAGGUGCUCUGAAGGGCACCCAGACCCACCUACUGAGUCUCGCAGCUGCAGUCAAGUCCCUCCCAGUCCAGGCAGCCCAGACCCCAAGGCCUGCAACUGGAAGAAGUACAAGUUCAUCGUGCUAAACUCUCAGGCCUCCCAAGCAGGGAGUCUGUCAGGGGACAGGAGUUCUGGUCAACUAUGCCGCCAAGCUGGGCUCUCCAGUGGAGAUGAGGCUUCCAGCAGCAGCAGUGGCAGUGAAGAAGGACCCAUUCCUGGUCCCCAAAGCAGGCUCUCUCCCACUGCUGCCACUGCACAGUUCAAAUGUGGAGCUCCAGUCAGUAACCCCCCUCUCCUCACACCCUUGGCUCAAGAGACCACAGGAUCUCCCUCUGGGGGAGUUCAUCCGCCACCAGGAAGUGAAUUUUUCAGCUGCCAGAACUGUGAGGCUGUGGCUGGGUGCUCAUCAGGGCUGGACUCCUUAGCUCCUGGGGAUGAGGACAAGCCAUACAAGUGUCAGCUCUGCCGGUCUGCCUUCCGUUACAAGGGCAACCUGGCCAGUCACCGCACAGUGCAUACAGGGGAGAAGCCCUACCACUGCUCCAUCUGCGGAGCCCGCUUCAACCGGCCGGCUAACCUGAAAACGCAUAGCCGCAUCCAUUCGGGAGAGAAACCCUACAAAUGUGAGACGUGCGGCUCGCGCUUUGUUCAGGUAGCUCAUCUGCGCGCUCAUGUGCUGAUCCACACCGGGGAGAAGCCCUAUCCUUGUCCCACCUGUGGGACUCGCUUCCGCCACCUACAGACCCUGAAGAGCCAUGUUCGCAUCCACACCGGAGAGAAGCCUUACCACUGCGACCCCUGUGGCCUGCAUUUCCGGCACAAGAGUCAACUGCGGCUGCAUCUGCGCCAGAAACACGGAGCUACUACCAACACCAAAGUGCAUUACCACAUUCUGGGGGGACCCUAGCUGAGUGCUGGCCCAGACCCCACUCGCUUCCUGGAAGCCGGGAAUGCUGCGGGCUGGCACCUGGCUUUCUGGUCAGGUUUGGGCAUGGGGGUGUGCAAGGCCCCUCCGGGGCAGAAUUUGCCACUACCUUAAAUUCUUACUGGGUAGAGCAGGGGUGGCAGAUCCCGGCUUGAUCUGCUUCUGUUUUGCUGGUCAAAACCUCUUCCCACAAUCAAAAUUGUUGCUGAGGAGAGAGCAAGCUGGGAGCUGGAGGAGGGGAGAGGCUUGAGGCCUCCUUCUCUUAAGGGGAUAGCCCUCCUCCUGCAGCCCCCAUCUCAUUUGGUUUAUCUGUAAAUAUAAUUUAUUGAGGGCCUUCAUUCUAUUGCAUUUCCCACUUCCUUCUUCCAGAAGUGUGACCAAAAGUGACCUGAAACACAGAAUGUGAGGUCAUAGCUCUGCUGGCAGAGAUUAGCACUUGGCUGUCUCCUUUGGCUCGAGUGUUUUAUAUUAUUAUUGUCAUAUCUUUUAUCUUUAGAAUUGUUCUUUUUCCUAUUUGUUUGCUUGUUGGUUUGUUUAAAAUGGAGAAAGAGAUUCUCUGUGUCCUGCCCCUCCAAUUCUAGGUCUGGAACCUUUAAGCUAGGGCAGCUCUGGGAACAUGUGAGUUUGUGGAAUUGGGUCAGGAACCCUCUCUGGUAUUCUGGAUAUUGUGGGUUCUCUAGCAGGCUAGAACUGGAUAUAGACUUUUCUCUGUUCUUCAGGGGUUAUAGGAGCCUUUAUGGUGAGCCUGAAAUGGAGGUAAUAAAUGCCUCCUGGAGGCUGUGGGGUCUGCGGGCUUUGAACUGGACUGGAGGGGUGAUUGAGAGGCUUUCUCUUAUGCCCCUAACUGUCCCAUUAGUCUGGUCACCUGGGUUUGGCUCUGCUUUGUCUAUCUGUCAUGAUAGAGCCCACCCAGGGAUUUCAGUUGAGCCCAUAAUCCUCCCACUAGGUCCUGUUCCUGGCACUAAAUUGAUCCCUCCAUGGGGGAGAUAGAUGAAAUUCCUUAUCAGAGAUAAUGCACCCUUUUCUGUUUCCACCCAGUCUCUGAGAUUGUUAUGACCUAGGGGAGAAUUACAAAACUCAUCUUGACUGAUUGGUAAAGAGUUAUGACUCGGUCCUUAACUGCAAAGGCAUCUAGGUUUGAAUGUUCAUUGGGGUUGUCUCUACCUGAGAGGAACUCCUCUUCUAGUGGGUUUUGGACAUCUUCUGGCAAGUGUCCAGAUUCCAGAAACUUCUUUGCCUCUGGAAGUCACUGUUAACUUUCUUCCCUUAGAAAAGCUGGGUCUGUGACCUGGUGUUCCCAUCACUGCAUUCCUAUCUGGAACCAGUGAAUGCACUAGAAACUUCCACAGGGAGAGAAAAAGGGCUGAGUUCCAUUCUGGAUUUGCUGUAGUUUGGAUUUUGAUUGGAAUUACCAGUGGGAUUAGGGAUUUAAAAGAUUUGAAGGACUGAUUGAUUGACUGGACCUUCUAGUUGACCAAGUAACCAGGUAGGAUUAAGAGGUUGGUUGAGGGGCACAGUCUCUGGUAUAGGCCAAGUAAGUAGAAAGUUAAGAAUGGGGUUGCCUCUUGGUGGAAUGUCUGGAAUGUUAGAUGAUACUCUGAAGCUUUGAUUUACAGUUCCUCCUAUUGCCCUGGGGUGUGAUUAUGGAGCAUGGGGUGGAGGGUAAGAAGCACUUUGAAUUUAUAGGGUAGAACUUCCUCAGCAUAGGUCAGUACUAGCGGCUGUCACUUGGGGACUAGUGAGAAAGCUACUCUUCUCCCUCUUUUCCUCUUCCUCCCUACUGCAGAAUUAAAGGAGGGAGGGAAAAGGGAAGGGAGAUGUAAGAAGGAACCAUGAUUUUUUUUUUUUUUUAGCAGAUUGAAUGGGCAGGUGGAGAGUGCCUAGGGGUGGAGAUGUUAGAUCUUGCAAGAUCAGAAUCAUGGAAUAAAGAAGCCUCUCUGUGCUGCCUGCUGUGUUGUGUCCUGGGUUCUUGCCUGGGAGAUCUGGGGACUGGGAACCAGUGACUUCAUGAAGUUUCUCCGGAGCCACCUGCAUCCUGCUGCUCUGAAGUCACAUCCUGCCUGGGGUGUGGAAGCAGCAGGGAGAAACCAGGAAACCACUAAUAAUACCAAGAGGCUGGGGGAUGCAUCUGUGC